rfam:Dipodomys ordii contig_55101, whole genome shotgun sequence.
GGGAAGGUAGCUCAGUGGUAGAGCGCUUGUCUUGCAUGCAUGAGGCCCUGGGUUCGAAUCCUCAGCGCCA